AGAUACAGUUUGAGCCUCUAUUCCGAUGUUUUUAAAAAUGUUCAUGCAGCUUGCAGGCAUUUCACUCUUGUGACUAUUCCUUUUAAUUUCCACUUAACUAGCUUUCUAUUUUUUGUGUAGUUCCACUUUUUGAACUUAAAUGCUACUGUGGGGGGUUUCACUAGUAUUUUCCCCCUCAACCCAAAGGAUGUUAAAUGUAAUUU